AACGAACGCUGGCGGCAGGCUUAACACAUGCAAGUCGAGCGCCCCGCAAGGGGAGCGGCAGACGGGUGAGUAACGCGUGGGAAUCUACCCAUCUCUACGGAAUAACGCAUGGAAACGUGUGCUAAUACCGUAUACGUCCUUCGGGAGAAAGAUUUAUCGGAGAUGGAUGAGCCCGCGUUGGAUUAGCUAGUUGGUGGGGUAAAGGCCUACCAAGGCGACGGUCCAUAGCUGGUCUGAGAGGAUGAUCAGCCACACUGGGACUGAGACACGGCCCAGACCCCUACGGGAGGCAGCAGUGGGGAAUAUUGGACAAUGGGCGCAAGCCUGAUCCAGCCAUGCCGCGUGAGUGAUGAAGGCCCUAGGGUUGUAAAGCUCUUUCACCGGUGAAGAUAAUGACGGUAACCGGAGAAGAAGCCCCGGCUAACUUCGUGCCAGCCGCCGCCGUAAAAC
rnacentral:rRNA from 1 species